rnacentral:rRNA from 1 species
CCUACGGGUGGCAGCAGUGAGGAAUAUUGGUCAAUGGACGAAAGUCUGAACCAGCCAUGCCGCGUGCAGGAAGACGGCUCUAUGAGUUGUAAACUGCUUUUGUACAAGGGUAAACCUGAAUACGUGUAUUCAGCUGAAAGUACUGUACGAAUAAGGAUCGGCUAACUCCGUGCCAGCAGCCGCGGUAAUACGGAGGAUCCAAGCGUUAUCCGGAUUUAUUGGGUUUAAAGGGAGCGUAGGCCGCAUGUCAAGCGUGCUGUGAAAUGUCCGGGCUCAACCCGGGCCUUGCAGCGCGAACUGGCGUGCUUGAGUCCGCGGAAAGCAGGCGGAAUUCGUCGUGUAGCGGUGAAAUGCUUAGAUAUGACGAAGAACCCCGAUUGCGAAGGCAGCUUGCUGCAGCGGAACUGACGCUGAUGCUCGAAAGCGCGGGUAUCGAACAGGAUUAGAUACCCGAGUAGUC